rnacentral:rRNA from 1 species
GGGGCAUCAGGCAGGCGCAGGCGCGCAAUUACCCAUUCCCGACUCGGGGAGGUAGUGACGAAAAAUAACAAUUCAAGACUCGAAACGAGGCCUUGAAGUUGGAAUGAGUACACUUUAAAAUUUUUAACGAGUAUCUAUUGGAGGGCAAGUCUGGUGCCAGCAGCCGCGGUAAUUCCAGCUCCAAUAGCGUAUACUAAAGUUGUUGCGGUUAAAAAGCUCGUAGUUGGAUCUUGGAAUGUGAACGCGAGGUCGCUUUACUGAGUGAACUUUGUGGCGCAUUCUUCUAUUUGGUCGGUGUGUUUGUGCUCUUAAUUGAGUGCAACAUUCUACCAGAAAUUUUACCUUGAAAAAAUUAGAGUGUUCAAAGCAGACCUUUUUGUGUCUGAAUAUUCGUGCAUGGAAUAAUAAAAUAUGAAUUCGGUUCUAUUUUAUUGGUUUUCGGAACUCGAGUUAAUGAUUAAGGGGGACAGACGGGGGCAUCCGUACUCUGCCGUUAGAGGUGAAAUUCUUGGAUCGGCGGAAGACGCGCAACUGCGAAAGCAUUUGCCAAGAAUGUUUUCUUUAAUCAAGAACGAUAGUCGGAGGUUCGAAGACGAUCAGAUACCGUCCUAGUUUCGACUGUAAACUAUGCCAGCUAACGAUCAGGCAGCGUUCUCUACGACUUGCCUGGCAGUUUCCGGGAAACCAAAGCUUUUGGGUUCCGGGGGAAGUAUGGUUGCAAAGCUGAAACUUAAAGGAAUUGACGGAAGGGCACCACCAGGAGUGGAGCCUGCGGCUUAAUUUGACUCAACACGGGGAAACUCACCCGGCCCGGACACAGUGAGGAUUGACAGAUUGAGAGUUCUUUCUUGAUUCUGUGGGUGGUGGUGCAUGGCCGUUCUUAGUUGGUGGAGCGAUUUGUCUGGUUAAUUCCGAUAACGAACGAGACUCUGGCAUGUUAAAUAGUCACGGGAGUAAUUUUAACUCACCAUGAGACUUCUUAGAGGGACAAGUGAUUCUAAUCACACGAGAUUGAGCAAUAACAGGUCUGUGAUGCCCUUAGAUGUUCGGGGCCGCACGCGCGCUACAAUGAGUCGAUCAACGAGCGUAUAUUUUUAUCCAAGUCCGAAAGGUCGAGGUAAUCCGUUGAACCCGACUCGUGCUAGGGAUAGGGAAUUGUAAUUGUUUCCCUUGAACGAGGAAUUCCCAGUAAGCGCAAGUCAUCAGCUUGCGUUGAUUACGUCCCUGCCCUUUGUACACACCGCCCGUCGCUACUACCGAUUGAAUGGUUCAGUGAGAUAAUCGGACAGAUAACUUGGUAACUGGCAACGGUUAACGUGCAUAUUGGAAGACGAUCAAACCUGGUCCAUUUAG